CUCUGGUCCAGGGCAGGACUUUCGCACAGUCCAUUCUGCCACACAAGCACCUUUAUGAAGCCAGAAGGAAAAGCCAGGAUGUGCGUGAUGAGUAGUGGGAAUUUGUGUCAGCCUUCCGACAGGCUCAGUGCCAGCAGAGCGCCUUGCCCCACGUGAAUGCUGGCAUGCGAGUCCUUCUCAAAGAAGGCACAGACAGCAUUGAGGACCUGAGCAUCGCCUAUGGAGGGGUGGGGGCUGCCACCAUCAGUGCACACAGAUCCUGCCAGCAGCUCCUCGGGAGGCGCUGGAAUGAGCUGAUGCUGGAUGAGGCUUGCAGGCUGCUUCUGGAUGAAGUCUCGCUCCUAGGCUCAGCUCUGGGUGGCCGGGUGGAAUUCAAGAGGACCCUAGUCAUCAGCUUCCUCUUCAAGUUCUACCUAGAGGUUCUGCAGGAACUGAAGAAGUUGGUGAAGCUAGUCUCUGUGCCUGACAGCCGUCAUCAUUCUGAAAUUUCAGACCGAUUCCUAAGUGCUCUCGAAGAUUUCCCAGUCACAAUACCCCAGGGAGUCCAAACAUACCAG
rnacentral:sRNA from 1 species